UACGUAGGGUCCAAGCGUUAUCCGGAAUCACUGGGCGUAAAGCGUGCGUAGGUGGCGUGUUAAGUGUGAUGUUAAAUCGUGGGGCUCACCCUGUCGGUGCAUCACAUACUGGCAUGCUAGAGGACAGCAGAGGCAAGUGGAAUUGGUGAGUGUAGCAGUGAAAUGCGUAGAUAUUACCAGGAACACCAAUGGCGAAGGCAGCUUGCUGGGCUACUCCAUGACACUGGAGGUACGAAAGCGUGGGAGCGAACAGG
rnacentral:rRNA from 1 species